ACCAGGAAACAAGUACUAAAUCACAGAAUACUGAGAAGUAGUCCUGUGCUAUUGAACUGACAAGAUUAAUUUAUUAUUUCCUUGCAAUGGGCCAAGCAGAAAUUCAAUGAACAACUUCAACCCAAGUYUGUUUCUAAAAUACAACACUCCAUCUGAGACAAGCCAACACUGGAUGUACUGUCAUGAAUUGAAAGCAAAUAAAUGARGCCUAUCAGGAAAAAUAUUUCAAGGAAAAAGUCCAAUAUCUGAAGUUUUCACACUGGCUUGUAAAAGAAAUAAYGUUUUCAUCCCUUCCCUCAACUCAUGGGAUACCCGUCAGUUUCCAGAUUCAUUCCCAUUAGCACAAAGAAUCAAAGAACCUUAAAACAUUCUUAAGGAAUUUUCCAAAUGAAAGGACCAAAUUGUGAAGAACUGGAAAUAAAAGCUCUGUUUGGGAGGUCAUGACAAACCAGGUGUUUAUUUAGCAAGAAAAAAAUCCAUAUAUAACCAAAAAAAGACAAGGCAG